AUUGAACGCUGGCGGCAGGCCUAACACAUGCAAGUCGAACGGUAACAGGAAGCAGCUUGCUGCUUUGCUGACGAGUGGCGGACGGGUGAGUAAUGUCUGGGAAACUGCCUGAUGGCGGGGGAUAACUACUGGAAACGGUAGCUAAUACCGCAUAAUUUCGCAAGACCAAAGAGGGGUACCUUCGGGCCUCUUGCCAUCGGAUGUGCCCAGAUGGGAUUAGCUAGUAGGUGGGGUAAAGGCUCACCUAGGCGACGAUCCCUAGCUGGUCUGAGAGGAUGACCAGCCACACUGGAACUGAGACACGGUCCAGACUCCUACGGGAGGCAGCAGUGGGGAAUAUUGCACAAUGGGCGCAAGCCUGAUGGAGCCAUGCCGCGUGUAUGAAGAAGGCCUUCGGGUUGUAAAGUACUUUCAGCGGGGAGGAAGGAAGUAAAGUUAAUACCUUUGCUCAUUGACGUUACCCGCAGAAGAAGCACCGGCUAACUCCGUG
rnacentral:rRNA from 1 species